AUGGUUGAAGAGAGCAAGUCUGCUAGGGUGAAUGAUAAUCUUAAAAGUGCUUUAACUAUUCACCAUCUGACAGAAGAAAAGAACAAGCUGGAUGUAGACUAUGACAAGUUAGUGAAAGAUCUGCAUCAACUUGUGGAUAUGCAGGAGGAUAGGGUUGUGGGUUUCAAAUAUCUGCAGUCCAACAUCACAUAUCAGCACCAAUGCAGAGUUGAAUUGGUGGUUGGUAUGAAGGCAGAAAUGGCAAAGAAAGAUGCAGUUAUAAAGAAGCUUAAUCAGAAGUAUGAACUCCUGUGCAACCAGACAAGUGCUCAAGCAACUGUCAUCCAGAACUUGAAGUUGAAGAAUAUGAAAGAGAAGGAAUUGCUGUUUGAGGCUAGGAUGAAUUUGGAGUUAAAGAAUGCAGAGUUCACAAAGAUUGAGGAGAAGCUCACCCAAGAGAAGCUAGAGUUGAUGUUUCAAGUUGCUAAUCUGCUGAAAGGAAAGGAAAAGCAUAAUGAAGAGAAGUAUAUGCUAGAGCUUAAGAUUGUUGAGCUCAUGAAGGGAGAGGAGAAGCUCAAGGAGAAGAUCAAGGGGAUCUAG
rnacentral:rRNA from 1 species